rnacentral:rRNA from 1 species
AUGGCGGACGAGGAGUUAACUGAUAUGAUGGUAGACAUGGAGUUUGGAGAACUGAUGAAAGACUGGAUAGAAGAUUGGUCAGAUGAUAAAUAUUCAGAUCUUGGAGAUCAGUCAGAGAAUGGGAAGGAAUGGGGAGAUUUUAAUGUGAGUGGCAUUAUCAUGUUAUGGAUGAGCAUGAUGAUGGUUAGGACAACAAUUCGGAGCUCUCAAAUGAAGAUUACAUUAGUCAAGUACACAUGCCUUAACGAUGAAUCAUCAGAUGCACCUGAUUCUGGGGAUUCGCAGUCAUCGGUCAUCAUGAGUGAGGUGACAGAAGAUGGUGGGGUAAUAAAUGUCCAAGAUACUGUCAGUGCAGAUGAUAAGAGGGAUAUGUUCAUGCAGAUAAUGGACAUGACUUUUAUGACUCACGAUGUUGCGUAUGAUUUCUACAACAGCUAUGCUAGAGUUAAUGGUUUCAGCAUUAGAAAGAAUAAGGCCAGGUAUACAAAAACCGAUGCACAUCUUAUGCGUUAUAGGAAGUUUGUUUGUUCCAGACAAGGGAAACAUGACAACAAGUUACUAACCGAGGAAGGGCAUAGCCGUAGGCUCAGAGCCGAGACACGCUGCUUUUGCGAAGCACACCUGACCGUCAAGCUUGACCAAAAACGUGGGGUUUGGUAUGUUUCAAGUUUUGAGGACAAGCAUAGCCAUAUGUUGGCAGGACCGGACGAGGUACCUUUUCUUUGGUCCCACAGAAAAAUCAAAGAGUUCCAGAAGCAUGAGAUAAUGUCCAUGGGAGCUGCAGGGAUUAGAAUUCACGACAUGAUGGAUUCCCUCAUCAGCAAACAUGUAUGGUAUGGCGGUGUUGGUUUUACCAGGCGUGAAAUAUACAACCUUUGUGCCAGGGAGAAGAGGAAGCUGCUUUCAAAAGGUGAUGCUGCCACAGCCAUAGGCAUCAUGGCCAAUAGAAAACAGAGGGAUCCUAGCUUCUUUUUCGAGUACAUGCUAGAUAAGGAAGAGCACUUGAAUAGGAUGUUCUGGUGUGACUCCCAGUCUUGUCAUGACUAUAAGGACUUCGGCGACGUGCUUGUAUUUGACAGCACGUACAAGAUGAACCGCUAUGUUUCGGACGAGACCGAACAGACAUACGUGUGGCUGCUGCAGACUUUUUUGAGGUCCAUGUGUCAAAAGAUGCCAAAGAGUGUAAUCACAGACGCCGACGCUGCAAUGAUCAAGGCAAUUCGCGAAGUCUUGCCAGACAUGUGGCACCGUAUAUCAAACUUCUAUAUGUUGCAAGAUGAUCUUAGAAAAAUUGAUGGCAUGGAGAUUGUAGAAAUUAAGCUGGGAGACGGAUCACAGGAGUACAUCGUGGCCUGGAAGAAUAACCGGAAUAGCCGUUUUUGGGUGGAGUAUACACCGUGUUUAGUUCUUGUUCGGUUGACAAAACAAGCAAGGUUGGGACUGUCCGCGAGGUGCACAAGCGAUAUGUUGGGAUAUGGUUGGACUGGGGCAGAGGAAAGAAUGAAAUAUAGCCAGGGAAAUUUGAGCAAGAAUACAAAUGACUUCAGUAAGUGUGCAGUUGAAUAUGUAGACGAUGAAGAAGACAACAUGGUCGCAGUUAAAGAUCCUAUGAAAGUGUCAAGCAAAGGUUCAACAAAGGUAGAUGAGAACCGCCCUGUCUCGAAAAACGGUAGACCACUCUCUUUUGAUGAGUUGAAAACCCGGUGCGGCGCUUGCAAAUUGCUAGGACACACUAAACGUAGCAAGAAAUGCAAACUAAAUCAGAAAACAGUGGAGAAGGAAGAAGAGUAG